rnacentral:rRNA from 1 species
GAUGAACGCUGGCGGCGUGCCUAAUACAUGCAAGUCGAGCGAACAGACGAGGAUCUUGCUCCUCUGACGUUAGCAACGGACGAGUAAGUAACACGUGGAUAACCUACCUAUAAGGCUUGGGUAACUUCGGGAAACCGGAGCUAAGACCGGAUACUAUAUUGAGCCGCAUGGUUGGAUAGUUAAAGACGUUUUUGAUGUGACUGAUACAUGGAUCCGCGCCGCUGUGGUGAGUUCGUAAGGUAACGGCUUACCGUAGCAAGGAUGGGUGGCCGAACGGAGAGCGUGUACGGCCACACUGGAGGUGAAACACGGCCCAGACUCCUACGGGAGGCAGCAGUAGGGAAUCGUCCGCAAUGGGCGGAAUCUUGACGGAGCAACGCCGGGUGAGUGCUGAAGCUCUUCGUAUCGUAUGACUGUGUUAUUAGUGAAGACCCAAUGUGUAAGUAACUAUGCACGUCUUGACGGUACCUAGUCAGAAAGCCACGGCUAACUACGUG